rnacentral:lncRNA from 1 species
CCCAACAGCACCCAAGUAUCUUGUACUACUACUUUUUCAAAACUCAUCUACCAUCACUUUUAUUACAAAAAUGGCUGAAGAGAAGAAGCACCACUUUGGUCUCUUCCACCACAAGGACAAGGAGGAAGACAAAACUACCUAUGGAGAAACACCAUAUGGUGGUGAUACUGAAAAAACUACCUAUGGAGAGAAUACAUAUGAAGAGAAAACUAGUUAUGGUGGGGGAGAUAACUAUGGGGAUAACAAAUAUGGUGAGAAACCUGGCAAUGGAGAAAGUGGAUAUGGAGAGAAAACUAGUUAUGCUGAGGGAGGUAAGUAUGGAGAUAGUGGCUACGAAAAAAAGACUACCUACGGAGAUAGUGGCUAUGAAAAUAAGACUAGUUAUGGAGACAGUGGCUAUGAAAACAAGACUGGAUAUGGAGAUAUUCCAUCUGAAACUACCUAUGGAGAGAAAACUAAUUAUGGUGAAGGAGAUACCUAUGGAAAAGCUGCUGCCCACUCAUCCGAGACCACUAAUUUUGAAGAGAAUACUGAUGAUGAAGGCAAAACUGGUGAGGAUUAUGAGAAAGAGAAAAGGCACC